UAUGGAUAUCCUACCCAGUGGGUAUCCUUAUAGGAUAUCCUUAAUAUCCGAAUGCUAUUAGGGUUACUUUUUGGAAGCCCGCUAGGAGCGUGGCUUAGCAAUAAUUAAAAUUGCACGCAGUAAAAUUUAAAUUAAAAUUUUAAUAAUCUGCUACUAAAAUGUUUUUCCUCGUAAUAAAUAUGUGUAAAUAAAUAAAAUACAGCUUCGAUAUCUCUUUUAUGUUUUUAUAAGAUUUUAUUUUUAUACGGUAUAAACAGGAAAAAUUGAUAUCUUGGUGAUAAUUUUAGAAAUUUGAACAACGCAGUUUUUUUUAUACAUAUAUAGUAGUAUAUAAACCCCGUUAAACCUCCAGCGAAUCAGUUAGUUAAAAAAUGUAUUUUGAAAAAAUUGUAAUCUUUGCACUUUUGUGCAUAUUUGCCUUCACAGUUUCAAUAGUUAGUGGCCAAUGUCAAGGAAGAACUAAACCAUGUGUAUUUGAUUCAGAUUGUUGUAGUAGAAAAUGUAUACAAUAUUCUAGUAGAUGCGUCUAAAAAUUUCCCUUUGGUGAUCCUUUAAUGAAAAACACAUGAAAAUGUAAUCAAAUUUCUAUGAAUACAUAUAUAUAUAUAUAUAUAGAAAGAAUAAAUACUAUUAUCUAUUAAAAUAUUGUAAAAUAUUUAUUGUGAAAUAAAUGUUAAAAUACAUGAAAAAAGAAUUAA